rnacentral:misc_RNA from 1 species
AAAAAUAAUAUGGACAAAGACAAGUCUCCAUACAAAAGUCUAAAGUAUUUAUACUAAGAUAAUAACAUAUAUAGAAAAAGAUAGAGCUAGUGGAAGACAAACAAAAACAUAAUCUAAAAGGCACGGCAAAAUGGGAGGAUAGUUUUCUAGCUAACUAGCUAGCUUUAGGCUAUAACCUCUUGGAUGGAUGGAACCCGAAUUCAUCACCUACUUGAGUUUAUCUAAUAAACAUCUCUCUGAAGCCGAAUCUGCCUGUUGAAUCUUUGAAUAAACUCCUCAACUCUUCUGUUUAAUUCUUCGUUGGACAUUUUUGCAUACGGAUCAUUUUUAUUUUCUCCUCCAUCUACAGGGUCUGGUGGUGAGUCAUAUAUAUCAGUUUCUUCUACUCUUCUAAUAAUGUUCUUACUCUCAUCAAUCACUACCCUUUUAUGGAUAUCUGACUUACAACGUUGAAAUGUUUUUGCCUGGACCUUCUUCUUCUCACGAUCUCCACUAGCAUUAUCUUGUUCCAGGCAACGUUCAAGCUUCUUAAUCUUAUUCCCUUGGAAGCUGGUGCUGGACCUUGUCCUUUGAGGGGUUGUUAUUUCUUUGCUCUUCUCCUGCAAGACCUCGAACUCUUCUUCAGGAAUGCAUGUCUUGAUAAUUUGAGAGUAGUAUUGUCGGUAGGAGGAUGGA